AGUGAACGCUGGCGGUAGGCCUAACACAUGCAAGUCGAACGGCAGCACAGUAAGAGCUUGCUCUUACGGGUGGCGAGUGGCGGACGGGUGAGGAAUACAUCGGAAUCUACUUUUUUGUGGGGGAUAACGUAGGGAAACUUACGCUAAUACCGCAUACGACCUACGGGUGAAAGCAGGGGAUCUUCGGACCUUGCGCGAUUGAAUGAGCCGAUGUCGGAUUAGCUAGUUGGCGGGGUAAAGGCCCACCAAGGCGACGAUCCGUAGCUGGUCUGAGAGGAUGAUCAGCCACACUGGAACUGAGACACGGUCCAGACUCCUACGGGAGGCAGCAGUGGGGAAUAUUGGACAAUGGGCGCAAGCCUGAUCCAGCCAUACCGCGUGGGUGAAGAAGGCCUUCGGGUUGUAAAGCCCUUUUGUUGGGAAAGAAAAGCAGCAGGUUAAUACCCCGCUGUUCUGACGGUACCCAAGGAAUAAGCACCGGCUAACUUCGUG
rnacentral:rRNA from 1 species